GCGCGCUGUGUGUGCCCCUUUAAGAGUCUCCUCUCGGCGUCCCACGUGUGUGAUCAGCUGAUGGUGACGCUGAGGGGAGAGCGCUCCCCAGUUCCUGAAACAUCGGGCGCUGCGGGCUCAACGGGCGCUGGGCUGGGCUGGGCUGUCCCGUGCUCUUCCCCCGCCGAGUCUCCUCCGCGCUCCGCUGGCCGUCGCAGGGGGAAGCGUGCAGGGUUAGUCUGCGCAGCAGGAGAGCGAGCAGCAGUGACAGCCCCAGAUACCUGCCCUCUGCCCAGGAAGGCGGUGCUGGGGGGACCUUCCUGCCAGAGACCCGACCCAACCCCACCCUACCCUGCUAGGACCAUCCUGCCAGGAUCGGAGCCACCUGCACCCCUCUUCUCAGCAGCAGUAACAGAGACCACCCACUGCGCUGGGACCUGCCUGCUAGCUGCAGAGAUCUCACCCCACCCCUACACGCCUGGGACCCCUCUGCUCAGCAGCAGUACCAGAAACCACUGCACCUUCCUGCCGGCAGCAAGGACCCUUCGUGUCUCCGCUGGGCUCUUCCUAGCGGGAGUAACAGAGACCUUCCUGAUACCCAGGGAGACUUGUUCCCUCCCCUUUGCACCCCAGAGACUUUCCUGCAAAGAACGUUAGGGACGCCACGCUUCAGAGACCCGUUAGCAGAGACUUUCCAACCAAAACUCCUCCUGAAUAUUAGCAGCAGACUCACUCAGCCCUCUGCAAUCCUGAGACGUUCUGACAGCAGAGACCCACUCCCCACUUAAAUCCAUCCGAGAGGAGCAAAGAGCCCCUUGAGACCGCCGAGCAACAACAGAUCCUUUCUAUUCACCAGUACAUGGAUUAUCUAAAAAGAUUGUCACUGGAAACCCCAAGUCCCAAGAGGAGUGCUAAUGAGGCUCUGGGUAUUUCUGUUACUAUGAAGCAUGAUGUCAGAUGAGUGGCCAUUCUGCAGAAUACUUCACACUGUGGCCAAUAGCUGCAAAAGUGAAUCAUGCGCUGGCACUGCUCACUCCAGUAUCCUGAUGAUGACUCUGGAUGUCAUGUCAGGUCACAGAGAGAUAGUCCACUCCACGUGAUCACCAUGAAAAUCAAGUUCCAGGCCUCAGAUUGAAUCUGGUAAUGGACCAAUCCUGGUCCUUCACACUACACUGACUUCUGGUGCAGUGCAUGGCACCAUUUCUGCCUAGAAGUGAGGAAUACAUGGAUCACUAUACUUGAGUCCACAUUUAAUAGGAAGAGGUGCAACUUCCUGGUCAGCCAAAGAUGUGUUUUAAAGCGCUUUGUUGCAAGGGACCACCACCUCCACGACCUGAAUAUGACUUGGUUUGUAUAGGUCUCACUGGUUCUGGCAAGACAAGUCUACUGUCACAGCUUUGCAGUGAAAGCCAAGAGAAUAUAGUUUCUACAACAGGUUUUAGCAUAAAAGCAGUGCCAUUCCAGAAUGCUGUCUUGAAUGUAAAAGAACUUGGAGGGGCUGACACUAUUAGGAAGUACUGGAGUCGUUACUACCAAGGAUCCCAAGGGGUAAUAUUUGUAUUAGACAGUGCCUCCUCGGAAGAUGAUCUAGAAACGGCGAGGAAUGAACUACAUUCUGCUCUUCAGCACCCACAGUUAUGUACUCUACCAUUUUUAAUAUUGGCCAAUCAUCAAGACAAGCCAGCAGCUCGCUCAGUGCAAGAGAUGAAAAUGAAGCAAAUGUUCAAGUACAUGGGCUUUCCUAGAACUGGCGAAUUCAUUAGCAGUGUUACAGAUGUUCAGAGUCUCUCAAUACAACUGCAAUAUGAAAUCGUUCUUCCCUCCAUGGAUAUCCCCUUAAAAAAUUUUGAACGGCAAGGCAGACCCCUUCGGAAAAUUUGACAUAGUAUGUGGACCCACAUGAGUCAUGGACCACAGGUUGAAAACCACUGUUCUAUGAUCAAAAAUAUUUUGAACUUGAACCUCUUGCACGAGGAAAGCGCUGGAUUCUUAAACCCUGCUCCCUGGAUGAUAUGGAUGCAGUAAAAGACAGCUUCACCCUUCUGAUACAUUUGCUAGAAGAGAGAGAGCUUGAGCCUUCAAGAAUGUGAAAAGCUAGGAAAGAGGACUGCUUCUCCAAUCAGCAUUGUACCUGUUUAUUCUGCUCCCAGCUUAAUUAUGAUUUGGUAUCAAGACUGCGUUGCGGCUUACAGUAAAUAUAAACUUUCAUUUAGUGCAGAAGAUCUGUUUGUUAAAAUAAAUGUGCUGUAAAUUGGGUAUAGGAUUAUUCCAGUUAAGUCAUCACACUACUGAAAUAUAGGGAGUUACUCUUUGCUUACCACUAAUUCUGCUCACUGCAUGUUUUCUCCCUGCAUUAUCAUAAAAAAAUACUUGAUACGGAAUUCUGCAUGCACAAAGUCACAAUCUGUAAAGGUUGGAAAAAAAUGCCACCAACUAUGUUUUCUGAAAAGUAAGUGUCAUAAGAAUUUGUGGAUAUUACUUUGUGUGUUAGCUAGUUUGCUGACCCCAAGGACUAUCUGGAAAGGAUGGCCACUGAGAGUACCCGGAAAUCAUCUUACAAGCAAGGAAACGUCUUGAUGCAAAGUCUAGUCUGAAGUCUUACUGAAUGAAAAUACAAAUACCUUGCUGUUGAUUACUAUUCUAAUUCUUAACCCUUUCAAGGCACAAGCAGUGAAGUUAGUGGGAGUAAGGGGAAAUGAGACACAAACACAGUGUGUGCACAUAUCAGCAUUUGCUAUGGAUUUUGGAUUAUCUGGAAUAUAAAAACAGCUUGCAUAAAAUUUCAGCUACAACUUAAGUAGAUAAUAUUUGUUAAAAAAUUAAAUGAGUUGAAUAAAAUAAAGUUCACCUGUUUUUUUUAGUGACUAUGAUUAAAGAGCAGCAAGAGUAUAUGUAUUUUAACUCAGAUGUGGAUGCAUGCUGGAUAAAUAGCAUGACGUGUGACAUUUCAAUUAAGGGAUCUCCUGUAUCUCUCACUCAAAGUAGUGUUGUUAUCACAACUGUGCUCCUACCUCUAUACUAUAGUUAAGGGUCUGCCAAUAUCUCUGUUUAUAAACCCCUAUUUUCAGGACUUUAAAAAAAGCCUUCAGAAAUUUGCGAAGGACUGAAUGUUAGUAAAAGUUUAUUAAUCAGAACCACAGUUUUGAACAAAUUUGGAAAAAAUCCAUUCAGUUCAAGGAAUGCAAUACAUAUUCCACCCCUGAGCCCCAGCCACCCCAGGUUUGCAGCGUUUGCAUGCCUUUUGGCAGUUUUAAACUGAUAUAAAUCAGUUUGGUUUUCAAAUGAGCUUCUCGGUUCAUUGAUUCAUAAUAAAACCAGAUAUCACAACAGGGUGUAGAAAUCAGUAGAUGUUUGGUACAUACCUUGUAUGUUGUGCCUCCUCCACUGAUAUCCUGCUUGAUGCAUACCCUGCAAUGGCAUGUUGAGGAUAUAGAAAUCCAUCUUGAUUCUGUGUUUCAGGUUUUGGAAAAUCUUCUUAAACUACUUUUCAGAGCUUUAUGCAACAUGUCUUUCACUCUGAAGAUUCAUUUAAGUUUAUUAUAGUUUAUAACUAGUUUGAGGAUAAGAAAAAAUAGUGAGGGAGAGCGUAUAAAAGCUGGUUCUCUAUUUGUAAUGUAUUCUUUGUUAAAUUAACUGGUUUCUAUAACUUUUACCAUUUUAAGUUUCCUUGAACUAUUUGGAUCACUUCUUGCCUCACUUGUGAACUUCUCUGAGGCCCACUUCAAUAUAAGUGUCUGGCCUGGUAGAGGCUACUUCAACUCACUUCCUAUAAUCAAAAUUAAGUGGGGGUUCCUGAGUAGUUUCUGAAUUAUUUGUGUAAUAGAAACUGAGAGCUGAAAGUGACCAGAGCGCUAGAAUCUGCUGGAUAGAGAGAUCUGGGCUCACUGACACUUUCUUCUCCCUCUCUUCCCCUAUCUUUGUAUUUCUUAUCCAUGUGCUGCUCCAAGGAACCUCUUCUGCAGAUACUCAGGAACUUAAACUGUUCAUGUUACUCAAAGCCAGCUCCCAAUUCUCCUUCUAUGAAUUGGAAGCACGCUUGCUGCCCCUCAGGUAUUGCUGUGCACCUUGAGUGGGCUCCCUGCCCCUGAACUAAAUAGGAAUUGGGAUCUAGUUUAGAGCUUCCAAUUCAUCCUUUCAGGUAACACAAACAAUUUAAAGUUCUCAAGCAUCUGCAAAAGAAGCUGUUUGGAGGAGGAUGAGCGUAAGAAGGGGGGACAGGCUGCACGCAGAAGGGAAGCCUGCUCUGAGAGCAAGAGGAAGGGGAAAGGAAGCAUUCUAAACUUUAGCUGCUUUUCAGUUUAAAAUUAGAGGAUGGGAGGAACAAUCUCUUUACUAUUUUCUGCCCUGUGGCCCAUUUUAGAUGUAACUAAUUAAAUUCACAACAGCUGUAAAUGAGACCAACUCCACUUACGUCUUACUAUUGGUGUAAAUUAGUGAAUUUGAUGCAAAGGUCAUAGGGGGUUUGAUAUUUGUUUGGUCAUGAGAUCUCAGCUAUGCACUGUUGGAAAGUGCUACAUAGCAGUGAUAUCAAGAAGGCCCAACUAGCCAAUCAGAAUGUGGCCUUAGCCAUACUCUCUUAUACAGUAUAUUAGGACCUUUUGAUGUUUAAUUCUUUUCUUUAGGAAAAUGUCAACUGCACAGGAGCAGUGAAUUUUUUUGUAAUGAUUUUUAAUUUGCAUAUUCUUAGUAAUCGCUCUAUACUACAGGUUGAAACAAUACCUUGUAACUGUUACAAGGAUUCAAGAAAGGUGUUUAACAUUACUUUGAAUAUGGUUCUGUUUGUGAAUGGAUUAUAAUGGAUUUGUAGAUUUUUUAAAUGUUUAAACACUUUCACCUUUUUUAUGGAGGGAUUAAAAAAUUCAUAGCAGUUCAUGUCACACUUUCUUUAUCUAAAUUGUUCUUGAAUAUUCUUAAUACAGAAUCUGUGAACACCACACAAUGUUUAUUCAGAUGACCAAUCUCAAUUACUGUUUUCUCUUCUUGUGCAUUCAUCGUUUAGAUUAAAUAAAUUCAAUCACUAGGAACGAGCUAAGUUCCAUUCAACUUCAUUAAACGGUGAAUAUUGUCUUUUUAAAAAAAAGAUAUUGUGGUUUAAUGUUCUUAAGCCAUCUGUUAAAUUACUUUCUGGGUGUGUGUUUGUAUGUGUGUGUGGAUGUGCCCACACUGGGCGGCUUCUCAGACCUAUGUCUGUCUGCAGUAUUUCAGCACUCAGAAUAAAAACAUUAUCAAUCAGUAUCCAACAACAGCUGUUCUUGACAUGCUUCUGUCUGACGCCUAAUGUUUUACAACUGGCCUCCUUUGUCUAGGAGUUCUGAGCUGGUCAUCUUGUUGCUUCCAUGUUAUGUCCCGUGCUUGUACGAACAGAAUUUGCAGUGAUUUUGGAAAUCCUUGUUAGUGUUUUUGAUAGUCUUUCUUGCUGUAUAAUGUGCGAUGUGUCUUAGUUUGCAUAUUCAAAUGUGCUGUACAGAAAUCUGUGAUGUAUUAUUUCAUUUACUUUCUGGCGUUUCAUUAUAUUUAUAGAAGUUACAGAUUUUUGUACCUUAUUAGCUACUACAGUUGCCUUUUUGUAAUGGCAAUUAAUUUAUAUUACAAAAGUUUGUAUCUUUUCUGUAACUGAGUAUUGGUUGAUAGUUAAAUGUCAUAUUAUCCUGACUUUAUACUAAAAAUACAUCAUCUAGACUUAGUAGUUGACCCAUUCAUAUAGGCAACUGCAAGACCAGAGGAACUUGUACUGUCUGAUUUAUACAUGAUUUCCACAUGAAAAUAAACACUGAGUAGAACUGAA